GGAGUUAGGAAAUGUAGACUCGCUAAUAUCGGGUCUAUUUGACAAAGGCUCCAAAGGAAGCCACGGCUAACUCUGUGCCAGCAGCCGCGGUAAUACAGAGGUGGCAAGCGUUGUUCGGAAUUAUUGGGCGUAAAGAGCACGUAGGUGGAUUUGUAAGUCAGACGUGAAAGCCUUCUGUUCAACGGAAGAAUUGCAUCUGAAACUACAAACCUUGAGUGUAGGAGGGGAGAGUGGAACUUCUGGU
rnacentral:rRNA from 1 species